rnacentral:rRNA from 1 species
UACGGAGGGUGCAAGCGUUAUCCGGAUUCACUGGGUUUAAAGGGUGCGUAGGUGGGAAUGUAAGUCAGUGGUGAAAUCUCCGUGCUUAACAUGGAACUGCCAUUGAUACUAUGUUUCUUGAAUUUUCUGGAGGUCAGCGGAAUAUGUCAUGUAGCGGUGAAAUGCUUAGAUAUGACAUAGAACACCAAUUGCGAAGGCAGCUCACUACACGAAUAUUGACACUGAGGCACGAAAAGCGUGGGGGAUCAAACAGG